AAAGAAUUAAUUUAAAAAAAUAAUAGUUAGUCAAACUAUAAAUAUUAGAAUUAUUCUAAUAUUCUUUA
rnacentral:tRNA from 1 species